rnacentral:rRNA from 11 species
GACUCUCGGCAACGGAUAUCUCGGCUCACCGCAUCGAUGAAGAACGUAGCAAAAUGCGAUACUUGGUGUGAAUUGCAGAAUCCCGUGAACCAUCGAGUUUGAACGCAAGUUGCGCCGAAGCCAUUCGGUUGAGGCAACGUCUGCCUGGGCGUCA